UGGCGAACGGGUGAGUAACACGUGGGGCAAACCCUGCCCAAAAGAGGGGGAUAACACUUGGAAACAGGUGCUAAUACCGCAUAACCAUAGUUACCGCAUGGUAACUAUGUAAAAGGUGGCUAUGCUACCGCUUUUGGAUGGGCCCGCGGCGCAUUAGCUAGUUGGUGGGGUAAAGGCUUACCAAGGCAAUGAUGCGUAGCCGAACUGAGAGGUUGAUCGGCCACAUUGGGACUGAGACACGGCCCAAACUCCUACGGAAGGCAGCAG
rnacentral:rRNA from 1 species